AGCAGCUUUCCUCCAUCACACCCUUUCACCAUGAUGUUCUCCCUUGCCUCAAAUUUAAGAGAAACUGGUCAAGUGACCAUGUAGUGAAAUCUCAGGAAAGCUUCUUGACUACUGUGAGGUGAAUGGCCUUUUGCAACAUGCACUCCCACCAUAAUGUACCAUAUGUCCAAAGCAUCGUGGCCAAGCAACCAUGGACUGAAACCACUGAAACUGCUAAUGAGGAGGUUUCUAUUCCCAUGCCACCCUGGUUUCUGGGCACAAGGAGCCACAGUGCAUGCUGGGACACACAGGAACUGAGAUGAGACCCAAGGAAUUCCAACUUCCAUUUGCCUCUCACUUCUGUUUUGAAUGGCCAAGGCUUCUGUCACUUCCUUGCUUCAUCCAACACCUCAAUAUUUAUCCCUCUCAUCAGCUGCGAAUUAUACAAAAAUUUUAGUAAGGGGAGGAAGUCCAUUCCUUUGGCUUAAAAGCAGAAAGAGUUACAGCAAUUCCACUUGUAGGCAUAUACAUACACAAAAGUACUAAAAUCAGAGACUGAAACAUAUUUGUACAUCCAUGUUCAUAGAAGCAUUACUCAUGAUAGUGAAAAGGUGAAAAUAACCCAAGUAUUCAUCAACAUGAAUAGUUUGUGGUAUAUACAUAUACAUCCACAAUAGAAUAUUAUUCAGCAUUAAAAAUGGAAUUCUAAAACAUACAAUCCUUUGGAUGAACCUGGAAAACAAAAGUAUGUGUGCUAUUGUAGUUUCUUACAUUCAAUAUUUAUUUGAGAUACACACAUGCAUUUGUGUGAAGCUGCAGCUUGCUUAUUUCAUCCUGUACAGUACUCCACGGUGUAGAUGUACUUUCACACAGAUCUCUUGUCUCCACAGAAGCACCUGAGGUGGCAUGUCUGUGCCUCUUAUGCUCAUAACAAACUACAGGUCAGAAAGGUUAAGUGAUGCGUUCAAGGUCACAAAGCCGGGAAAUAUAAGAGUUGAAUCUGAAACCCCAGUUUCAUGACUCUUGGUCACAAAUUAAAAGAGAAGAACUGGAAAGACCUUAGUAUUGGAGUCCCCUUAAUAAAGUUUUCCAUGGCUGCAUCUACCAUAGGUCAGAUACAGACUGACAAUAUUAAAGGGAAAAUUUCAGACAUAAAUAAUCCAUAUGUUUUAAAUAAUUUUUAUUAUAAUAUGUUGCUGUAAUUGUCCUGUUUCAUUAUUAUUUGCUGUUAAUCUCUUAUUGUGCUUAAGCUAUAAAUUAAGUUUUACCAUAGGUAAUAUGUAUAGGAAAAAACACAGUACAUACAGGGUCCAGGACUAUCUGAAGUUUCAAGCUUCAUGCAUCCACUGAAGGUCUUAAAACAUGCCCCCACAGAAGAGAGUGGAACUACAAUGUUGCAACAGUUAAUAUUUUUGAGCAUCUACUACAUGCAAGGCCCUUUACUUGUAUAAUCUCAUUUAGGCCUUAUGAGAAAGGCACCAUUUAGUCCUUAUUUACACUUUCAGUUUCUCACACCAGAGAAACUAUUCGGUAUUUAUACAUGUGUGUCCUAUUUAUUUCACUUAAGAGUAUUGCCUCAA